rnacentral:rRNA from 1 species
AGAGUUUGAUCAUGGCUCAGAUUGAACGCUGGCGGCAGGCCUAACACAUGCAAGUCGAACGGUAACAGGAAGAAGCUUGCUUCUUUGCUGACGAGUGGCGGACGGGUGAGUAAUGUCUGGGAAACUGCCUGAUGGAGGGGGAUAACUACUGGAAACGGUAGCUAAUACCGCAUAACGUCGCAAGACCAAAGAGGGGGACCUUCGGGCCUCUUGCCAUCGGAUGUGCCCAGAUGGGAUUAGCUAGUAGGUGGGGUAAAGGCUCACCUAGGCGACGAUCCCUAGCUGGUCUGAGAGGAUGACCAGCCACACUGGAACUGAGACACGGUCCAGACUCCUACGGGAGGCAGCAGUGGGGAAUAUUGCACAAUGGGCGCAAGCCUGAUGCAGCGACGCCGCGUGAGGGAUGGAGGCCUUCGGGUUGUAAACCUCUUUUAUCGGGGAGCAAGCGAGAGUGAGUUUACCCGUUGAAUAAGCACCGGCUAACUACGUGCCAGCAGCCGCGGUAAUACGUAGGGUGCAAGCGUUAUCCGGAAUUAUUGGGCGUAAAGGGCUCGUAGGCGGUUCGUCGCGUCCGGUGUGAAAGUCCAUCGCUUAACGGUGGAUCCGCGCCGGGUACGGGCGGGCUUGAGUGCGGUAGGGGAGACUGGAAUUCCCGGUGUAACGGUGGAAUGUGUAGAUAUCGGGAAGAACACCAAUGGCGAAGGCAGGUCUCUGGGCCGUUACUGACGCUGAGGAGCGAAAGCGUGGGGAGCGAACAGGAUUAGAUACCCUGGUAGUCCACGCCGUAAACG